rnacentral:rRNA from 1 species
AGUGAACGCUGGCGGUAGGCCUAACACAUGCAAGUCGAACGGCAGCACAGGAGAGCUUGCUCUCUGGGUGGCGAGUGGCGGACGGGUGAGGAAUACAUCGGAAUCUACUUUUUCGUGGGGGAUAACGUAGGGAAACUUACGCUAAUACCGCAUACGACCUACGGGUGAAAGCAGGGGACCUUCGGGCCUUGCGCGAUUGAAUGAGCCGAUGUCGGAUUAGCUAGUUGGCGGGGUAAAGGCCCACCAAGGCGACGAUCCGUAGCUGGUCUGAGAGGAUGAUCAGCCACACUGGAACUGAGACACGGUCCAGACUCCUACGGGAGGCAGCAGUGGGGAAUAUUGGACAAUGGGCGCAAGCCUGAUCCAGCCAUACCGCGUGGGUGAAGAAGGCCUUCGGGUUGUAAAGCCCUUUUGUUGGGAAAGAAAUCCAGCCGGCUAAUACCUGGUUGGGAUGACGGUACCCAAAGAAUAAGCACCGGCUAACUUCGUGCCAGCCGCCGCGGUAAUAC